CCCACAUACCAUCUAGAAGGCAACCCUGACAGAUUCUUUAAUCCCUCCCCCUAGUUGGAAGAACAGCAGAAAUGUCCCAGAUAGGUCUGUUCUACCAUGAUGUUUCGGGCAAAAUGGACAACUUUUUGACUGUGGAUCCCCUGGGACAGCCUGGCCAGAUCCCCCUUCCUUCAAGGUAAACAGAAGAGAGAGAUUUCACCUCUGAGAAUCUGGGUUUGCUUGCCUGCCUCCUUGUGUGCCUGUUUCUGUCUUUAAAGAGAGACAUAUGAACUCAUCAUGGGGUCAAAGGAAGUGAAAACCUCUGAGACAUGUACCAGCGUUGCGCAGGAAAUUAGUAUGCAUCUUGGAAAGUGCUACAUUCUUUUCUUGACCUCACCCGGGAGCUCCUGCAACAUGGUGUAACCAAAAGAAACCUGGGCUCUGGAGGUAACCCGUUUGGGUUUGAAUCAACCCAGCUCUGUCAUCUUACCAGCUUUGCAAACUCCUUCAAAUUAUUUGAAAUUCCCUCGAGCUUUCAUUUCUUCACCUUUCAAAAGGAGGAUAAUACCUACCACACAGGCUUGCUGUGGGGGUCAGAUGAGACCAAAUAGGUGAAGUAGGUGCUCCCGAAAGGGGCCUUUCUUGUCUCUGCUGGGCCCGAGUAAGAUCAGAAACUCCCAAUAAGCAUGACUGGUGUUCGUUUUUUUUGUUUUUUUUUAAGAUAAUUUGGAACAUGAGACGUUGAAUACAGGUUAGUUCUGCACGUAACAGUCCUCUCCAAAAGGUGGCAUCUUAUAUAAUUAUGUAUGACUCGAGACAAAGUGCUCAUUAUACCUGGAGAGGAUUGUAAGUAGCAAAAAAAAAAGAGAAUGAAGAGCAGGAAGGGACAGGUUCUGCAGGGCUGAUCUGGAGCCUGGAGCAGCUUCUGAGAAGUUUCCAGGCCGCGUGGCUGGAGGGGAGUUGUGUGCCUCACUCCAUUUUCCAGGCUGCCAUUAAAAUAGAAGGAUAUAAACUAGAUCACAAAGAAAAUUAACCUGCAGCAUGUCCCUUCCAAGCGGUGGGGAUGGGUCCUGCAGCCUAGUCCUUGGUCAGAGGCUGGGGACGUUGAAAACACUGAUGCCCAAAUACCUUCCCUAUUUUAACGUAAUGUUUCCCAUAGAAUUCCCUUCCCAUGUUAAUGGAAAUACUAUGUCUCUUGUGCCUGAAUGCAAAGGAUUCCAGGUAACAUUAUGAAUAAUAGGUCACGGGGUGGGGGACAGGGGCAUUGGAAAGUUCGUCUCCUUGGGAAGCCAUUGGGACCAGAAAAAUUCAUAUUUGACCAGGGAUCCUAAAUCAUGUCUGUCCUGAAGUCAAAGAGGGAGACUGCAGGAGUUCCCAUUGUGGCUCAGCAUUUAGCAAACCCAACUGGCAUCCAUGAGGAUGCGGGUUCAAUCCCUGUCCUCGCUCAGUGGGUUAACCCGGGAACCUUCAUGUGCCAAGGAUGUGGCCCUAAAAAGCCGAAAAAACACAAAACAACAACAACAAAAAGAGACUGCAAAGAAAUGCCUUAGGAUGACCUUAAAUGCAGGAGCGCUGAGGGGAAGGGAAUAAAAAGAGAAAGAACUUGGUUUUAUUUUCCUUGAUAAGAGCUCUAAAGUAUUGAAAGACCUUAAAAAUAGCCCCCAGAUUGUCACAACUUUUGUGGAUAUUGGUUUAUGGGAAUUUUUUUUUAAUCCCUUUUUUUCUUCUCUCUCUUUGUGAUCUGGUGACUUGUCUUGCUUCCAAGAAUUGUUUCAUUAAGCAUAUAUUAAGCUCUUCACUGAACGCCAGACAGUCCUAGACCCCCAACCUGUGGCGAUUCAGUGUGUUCAAAGGAAACAGCCCCAGGAUGCAAGGACUGUUGUGCGCGUGGGAUUGGCGAGUGAGUAGCGUUUAACAACAGGGAACCCUAAAUAAGGCUGCUGGGCCAUGGGUGGCCUCCCCCUCCUCCACCUUCAUGUUUUGAUUCUAGAAAUAGUCAUUUUCUCCUAUCAGACCCAUUAAAAGCACCUGCCACUUGGAAGUUCCUGUUGUGGCUCAACGGUAAUAACCCCGUCUAGUAUCCAUGAGGACAAGGGUUUGAUCCCUGGCCUCGCUUAGUGGGUUAAGGAUCCAGCGUUGCUGUGAGCUGUGGUAUAGGUUGCAGACACGGCUUGGAUCCUGCGUUGCUAUGGCUGUGGCUGUGGCCUAGGCCAGCAGCUGUAGCUCUGAUUCAACUCCUAGCCUGGGAACUUCCAUUUGCCAUGGGUGCAGUCCUAAAAAGCAAAAAAACAAAAACAGAGCUAGAGCAGGAUUUGAGAUAGCAGUCUACUUUGCUGACUCUUUCCAAGCUUCAAGAGUCCUUCCCCUCUCCUUGCCCCCAGAUCAUGGGGGUGAUUUCUUGUUUUUAAAUUGAGAAUAACUUCCAUAUGGUUAAAGGCACAAACCUGAGGUAUAUGGAUGGAUGUGCUUUUUAGCACAGUGUACACCCAUAUCCUCACCUCUCAGAUCAUUCCAGCCCCACAGAAAUUUCCCUUGGGUCCAGGCUGUCAUUUUAUAAAAGGUAUUUAGAAGGCCCUUCCAUGUGCAACUUCCUUCCUCUCACUUCUCAGGUAAAAUGAAAAGGGGAAACAAAGCCCACCAUCCACACCAAACAAGAGCAUACCUUUUGGCA
ensembl:lncRNA